rnacentral:rRNA from 1 species
GGGCUACACACGUGCUACAAUGGCCGGUACAGAGGGCAGCGAAGGGGCGACCUGGAGCGAAUCUUAUAAAGCCGGUCGUAGUCCGGAUUGGAGUCUGCAACUCGACUCCAUGAAGUCGGAAUCGCUAGUAAUCGCGAAUCAGCAUGUCGCGGUGAAUACGUUCCCGGGCCUUGUACACACCGCCCGUCACACCAUGGGAGUGGGCUGCACCAGAAGCCGAUAGUCUAACCUUCGGGGGGACGUUUGCCACGGUGUGGUUCAUGACUGGGGUGAAGUCGUAACAAGGUAGCCGUAGGGGAACCUGCGGCUGGAUCACCUCCUUAAAA